rnacentral:lncRNA from 1 species
UAGUUUCUUGUCAGCAUCGGGAUGAGCUGUUUGUAGUGAAGAGCCUGGGCCUGGUGAGCCCCCGGGAUGAUGGGUGGGGACCAUCUGUGCUCUCCUGGAAAGGAAAUUGUGGUUUCUUUCUUUUCUUUUUUCUUUCUUCUUCUUUUUUUUUUUUUUUUUUUUUUUUUUUAGUUUAUGGGAAAGGGAGACUUGUGUCUCAAUUGAGUCUUUGUGGCGUUGUAUUACAGAGAGUCACAGAAAAUGUUCUAUGUAAAUGACUAUGUGCUCUGAUUAGAGCCUCAAUGGGCACCAUUGUGUCAUAUUGCUAUUAUUGGCGAUUGCAGGAUACUAAAUGAUAUUCUCAUCAGGCUGAAAAACUUCAGUGUUAGCAGUGAAACUCGGGGUUAAUUAUACUGCUCUGAAUUAGAGCAUGGAAUUAAGUUGUAGGGAGAGUAAGCCUAUUGCUUUCUUCCCCCUCUGUCUUCCUCUUCAAGAUUCUUGCUGGGGGUUUGAUCAGAAUAGUUUUUAACCCAUGUUCUAUAUCUGUACUACUGGCAUUUUGUUCUCCAUGAGUUACUACCCCAUUUGGGGUUGGGAAACACAGGACCAAUUUAUAGGACAGUGGGAGAAGGGGAGACAUGGUCUACUUAAUAGUGCAUUCUUCUCAGUCAAUAGCUGGGUAAAAAAUAGCAUGAAGAUUGAAGUCUUAGGGGAAUGCUGGACUCUCUAGAGGGGCCUCUUUAAUUUAGCUCUUGUCUCUUCUGCCUUUGAAUUCUCAUCUCUUCUGAUCCUGACUCACCUCUUUGAAGAAAUGACACACUGACCUACAUCUUGGCUGAAACAGAUAGAAGAGUCUAUCUCUGUUCUGCCCCUUCUUGGCAUUCCCAGCACAGCCUCCAAGGGAGUCUGUCCCAGAGCUGAGGCAGGCCCUCUCGGGUUGCAUGCCAUUGACUUCUCAGCUUUGUUUUAACUGCAGAGUUUCCAGUGCUCUGCUCUUCUUGAAUUGCUCCUGAUUGUCACCUUCUUGCAUUCCUUUCUCUCAUUUCUUUUUCUGUAAAUUUCAUGUCACUGGUAUCAGGUUUAAAGUCGUAUUUUUUAAAUCCCUUUCAAUGUUACGUGGGUUGUAAAUGUAAUUGUUAAUAUUAUUUAAAAAUUUUUGAAAAGUGAUUUUUAGUGGUGGCCUUAUCAUAUCUACAUAUUAUUACUCCACCAUUUUGGGAUGUUUAGGUCGAAUCCUGGUUUUUUCUUCUUUUGCUGUUGUAAGUCAUGUAUAUUGGCAAUUAGCCUAGGAGAGAUUCCUAGAAAUGAGUUCACUGAGAAUAUGAGCUUAAGAGAAAGUGAGGAUUUAAAGCCAGAUCUGUCUGCCUUCAAAUCCAGCGCUCUUUAUACUGAUGUGAGUUCUCCUGUCUUUUUUACCUAUCAGAAUUCUAGAACUCUCCCAGAGAAACCAGGCAGAUACUGCUCCACACCGGUGAGCUGCUUCUCACCUGGGUAGUCUAGGGUGGUUUGCUCCAGAAUUGUAUUUCUGCUUUUUCUUUUUUUAACUUGGCAGUGGUUAACCAUUCCCUGGAGCAGCACCAGCAUCACUGGGGAGGACAGCCUUACUUUGGAGUUUUUUUUCUGAUCAGUUACAUGAUGGUUUCAUCUUUAAGACUACUGAUAACAGGCAGCUCUGCCUAUGGAGUAG